UAACACAUGCAAGUCGAACGUGAAAGCACUUCGGUGUGAGUAGAGUGGCGGACGGGUGAGUAACGCGUGGGAAUCUGCCCAGUAGUGGGGGACAACUACCGGAAACGGUAGCUAAUACCGCAUACGCCCUACGGGGGAAAGGCUUCGGCCGCUAUUGGAUGAGCCCGCGUCAGAUUAGCUAGUUGGUAGGGUAAAGGCCUACCAAGGCAACGAUCUGUAGCUGGUCUGAGAGGACGAACAGCCACACUGGGACUGAGACACGGCCCAGACUCCUACGGGAGGCAGCAGUGGGGAAUAUUGGACAAUGGGCGAAAGCCUGAUCCAGCAAUGCCGCGUGUGUGAAGAAGGCCUGCGGGUUGUAAAGCACUUUCAGUUGGGAAGAUGAUGACGUUACCAACAGAAGAAGCACCGGCUAAAUCCGUGCCAGCAGCCGCGGUAAUACGGAUGGUGCGAGCGUUAAUCGGAAUUACUGGGCGUAAAGCGCGCGUAGGCGGCUAAGUCAGUCA
rnacentral:rRNA from 1 species